AUUAUCCUACGGGGGGCAGCAGUAGGGAAUCUUCCACAAUGGGCGAAAGCCUGAUGGAGCAACGCCGCGUGGGUGAAGAAGGUUUUCGGAUCGUAAAGCUCUGUUGUAAGAGAAGAACGUGUGUGAGAGUGGAAAGUUCACACAGUGACGGUAACUUACCAGAAAGGGACGGCUAACUACGUGCCAGCAGCCGCGGUAAUACGUAGGUCCCGAGCGUUAUCCGGAUUUAUUGGGCGUAAAGCGAGCGCAGGCGGUUGGAUAAGUCUGAAGUUAAAGGCUGUGGCUUAACCAUAGUAUGCUUUGGG
rnacentral:rRNA from 1 species